rnacentral:misc_RNA from 1 species
AGGAAGUUAAAUGCCUCAGUUGUACAAAUUAUUCUUACUGGAUUAAGUCUUAAAUUUUUAUUAUACUAUAGUGAUGUGAAUGUUGUGUUAUUUCAUUUAAUAUAAUUUAAAGAAUAGUUAAUGUCAGUUAAUACAAUCAGAGAGAAAACAUACAUGUACUUUAAGUUCCAUUCCAUGCAACAUUAUUCUAGACUACAUAAUGUUGCUUGAUCUCGUUUCAUAGUUAAGUCAUUGGAUCUAAGUGGUGAUCAUUAUUCCACAGAACCAAGAUAUGUGAAUAUGCUGUUUUGUAGAAAGCUAACAUCCAUUCAAUCUGAUUGAAAUCAUGAGUUUGCAUCCUAUGGAUACACUCUGAAAUUACAUCCCUGGAAAUUAAGCUGUUACAUACAGUAAUAUAAUUGAUAAACAUGCCAGUCCAUCAAAUGUCAUUUAAAUUAAAGUCAUAAAAGACUAUAAACUCAAGCUAAUAUAUUGUGGAUGCAUAUAAAGAGAAUUUGUUAGUACAUUGUACAUGUACCAAUAGAUAUUUUAUCAUCUGGCCAAGUUGAGGGUUUCUGAUCGAGUGCGCUUCUCACAGAGGCAGAGGAGAUCAGAAACCCUUGACUUGGGAAGAUGAAACAUGUAUCUUAUGUGAUAUUUUAUUCUCUGAUCAUUUGCCAUCAUUGUGAAAUUUAUUCCUUUCAUUUAUUAGAACCAAAUAAUUGUUAGCUGACCAUCAAGAGUGUGCAAUCUACUUGUAUUAUGUGUCACUAAUAAAGUAAAAACACAGGUAUGAUAGAUGUACAGAUGUUAUGUACAAUUCACAUCCUAGUUGAGCAUGCUUUGUCACUUCUUUAAUAAAAAAAUAUCUUCCUACCAUGAGUGACUUUUGGGGAUAAACAUAUAUUUCAAGUUUAUGUAUGAAUUUUAAAAUCCUGUCAUUUCUAUUAAAAAAACAA